UUCAUUCCUAUUUAACGAUUUUAGGAGUAUCGAUACGUCGGUUGUCGAUACAUAUUAAGAUCGAUACAUUUUUAAUUGAUUCGAUCCGAUACAGUGUAUCAAUACUUUCGACUGUAUCGUGAAACCCUAUAUAGUUUCGACGACCGUUUUGUCGUACGAUUGUUGCAGCAUUUAGGGGUCAUAAAAAACAAUAUUUUUUGCAAGAGGACAAUAAAUUUUAGUGAUCUCCAGAUGGAAAUUGAAUACUACCGUUUUGAAUGGAAGGUUCCAUUUUUAUUGAAAUGACCGAUUAACCUAAAGUUACUAAACUACCUGUAGUAUAGUCUCUACCGCAAGAUAGACCACUGUACUCGUGACUUCUCAACUUUUUGAGAUGGAUAAUAAAAAGAAUAGGCUCCCCGCUUAUUCAUAAAAAAUUAUAAGAAUUUAGAAAAAAGUCUCACUCUUAAAACUCUACCAGGAGUUGAUAAUAUUUUGUUAAUUAGACUUCGUCUACAAGAAAAAUGUAUACAAUCUAGUAAGUAAGGUUAGGUGGUAUGUCGAAUAGUGUAAAAUUUAUGUUAUGGCACUACUCUUAGAUGUUUUAUUACCGAUUAUGAAUAUAUAACAUUAU